GAGCUUGAAGUCAUCCAUUCCAGGUGGGCCAUGCUUGGAGCUCUUGGAUGCGUCUUCCCCGAGCUCUUGUCCCGCAACGGUGUCAAGUUCGGCGAGGCUGUAUGGUUCAAGGCUGGAGCCCAGAUCUUCAGCGAGGGUGGACUUGACUACUUGGGCAACCCAAGCUUGAUCCACGCACAAAGCAUCUUGGCCAUCUGGGCUACACAGGUGGUCUUGAUGGGUGCCGUUGAGGGUUACAGAAUUGCUGGCGGGCCACUCGGUGAGGUAACUGACCCAAUCUACCCAGGUGGAAGCUUCGACCCACUGGGCUUGGCUGACGAUCCCGAAGCAUUCGCUGAGUUGAAGGUGAAGGAACUCAAGAAUGGUAGGUUGGCUAUGUUCUCAAUGUUCGGAUUCUUUGUCCAGGCCAUUGUGACCGGAAAGGGACCACUGGAGAACCUGGCUGACCACCUUUCUGACCCAGUAAACAACAACGCCUGGGCAUAUGCCACAAACUUCGUUCCCGGAAAGUGAGCAACAAAAGAGUUUUUUCUGUGCUGGGACUAUUGGCUUGUAAUGUUAACUUGUGAUGUAACGAGCUCAUGAAUUGAAACUUGCGCUAAAAGUAAAUAUUCUGUUUGGUCCCUUGAAAAAA
rnacentral:lncRNA from 1 species